UCAGCUCGUCGUCGUGAGAGUGUUGGGUUAAGUCCCGCAACGAGCGCAACCCUACGUUAGUUGCCAUCGGGUGGAGCCGGGCACUCUGGACGAACUGCCGUUGACAAAACGGAGGAAGGUGGGGAUGACGUCAAAUCAUCAUGCCCCUUAUGUCCUGGGCCACACACGUGCUACAAUGGCCGGUACAGAGGGAAGCGAAGCCGUGAGGUGGAGCAAAUCCCAAAAAAGCCGGUCUCAGUUCGGAUUGCAGGCUGCAACCCGCCUGCAUGAAGUCGGAAUCGCUAGUAAUCGCAGGUCAGCAUACUGCGGUGAAUACGUUCCCGGGCCUU
rnacentral:rRNA from 1 species